rnacentral:misc_RNA from 1 species
GUCCUUUCCUUGUCCAGCUAUGCAGUUGCUCCUGCUGUAUUAGGUGUUACUCAUCUUACUCCAUAUGUAGUAAGGAAGACAGCGCGACAGUUCGAUGCCUUUUGCAGUAUUGGAAUAAAUGAUUGCUAUCUUAAGCCAUCAUUCUUUUUUUUAUUUAUUACCGUGAUGUCCGGGCCAAUUUUUUGUGCACCUCGGCUAAUUCCACUGGAUCAGCAAUACGGUACCAAGGCUACCAGGCAACUCUGUCUACCAAGGCUAGGACAUAUGGAAAGAAUCAUCUAGUGUUUUUUUGUCUUCACUGAUCUUAAGCCACCAUUGUACAGAGGUAUGAUUCCCCUCCAUCGCAAUUUGCCAAGUCGGGGCUGCCUCAUAAGACACCACCUGACAUAAGCAAAGCCCCUUAAUAUAGAGCCUUGUUCCUCCAAAUUCUCUUCCAAGGCCAUUGACCG